UCCUACGGGAGGCAGCAGUAAGGAAUAUUGGUCAAUGGACGCAAGUCUGAACCAGCCAUGCCGCGUGGAGGAUGAAGGUCCUCUGGAUUGUAAACUUCUUUUAUAUGGGACGAAAAAGGGCCUUUCUAGGUCAACUGACGGUACCAU
rnacentral:rRNA from 1 species